UCAGUCCCAGCCAAGCCACGUGGACUGAGAGUCAUGGGGAGACCUAGGGAAAUUAAAUAACUCACAAACACCUGUAAAAACUGUUACAGUGACUGGUGUGUGUGAUAGAGGGCCAUGGGCCUGUGAAAGCUGCAGGAGGGAAAUCGCUUACUCAGGGAGAGCCUGGGGAAAUCCUGCCGGAACUGAGGCCUCUGCAGGGUGAGCAGGAGGGACUGGAGUUCCAGGCAGAGGGAACAGCAUGUACAAAGGCCCUGUGGCAAGAGGGAGUGUGGAGCGAGAGAAAGGCCAGCGUGCUGGAAUCAGAUAUUGGACAAGGAGAAGCCAGAUCAAGGCUGUGUUCGGAACUCUUUGCUUUAUCUUAAGAGCAAUGGAAAGCCGUCAGAGGUUAUAAGCAAGGAUGAGGUACAAGGAAAUGGUAGAACUAGUGAUCUCACCCAGCCUCACUGUAAACAGCGAUUGUCUGGAUAAACUG
rnacentral:lncRNA from 10 species